rnacentral:snoRNA from 1 species
AGAUGUGAAUGAUGAAAUCACAAGUAAAAUACAGUUAUCCCUGUCUGAUUCCUUCUUUAAGGGUGCUGAGAAUACUUAAAUCUGACACAUUA